UCAGUAGUCUGAGAUUUACUUCUGAGACUGCUUCUAAUUACGAUUUCCUAGCGUUGUGAACUGUGAUGUGAAUUGGAUAAAAAGACAGCAAUACUUGUUCCUUCUGAUGUACAUGAUCGCUCCCGAUUAUUGCAUAGAAUACAGGUUUGCUCGUGACACAAUCGUCCUAGCUCUUGCCGAUCCUCACAGGACUUACGACCGGAGAUUGUAGUUGGACUAUCGUUUAGGGAUUCCUGACUCGCAUUCCUGAUUCGUUCGUCUUAUUUCCACCAUAGUUCUUCUGUUACAGUUUGAGAGUACGAGUGCCUACCGAUUGAGCAUUACAGGCGUGGAAGAGUAAAGAUUGUUCAUGGAGCCUUAAACGGCGUGAACGCUUAUACACGACAGUAUAGUAUAUGGUGUGUAUAAUGUACUGUAAAGUUGACUGGUUUUAUGGUUUGAAUCUGGGUAUAUUAUGGAGUAAAUAUAGUUAUGAAUAAAUGAUUAUGUGUGUGGGAAAAAGAUAUUUUGAAGAAACAGGUGGGUGUAACGAUCCGUAUGAUGUAAAGUCUGUUGUAUUUAGGGAUUUUUAUUUUACUAAAGCUGGUAAAUAUUUUGAAGAAACAGGUGGGUGUAACGUUCCGUAUCAUUCAGUAUUUUAGGGUAUUUUGAUUCGUUUUGAGAUUGGCAAGUGAAGUUGGAGACAGGUGGUUCCGUUUAGAGGUUCACAAAUGUUUUUUAUUGCAGAUUAAAUGCGUAAAAAGUUGGAGAACAUGAUUUUCAUUCCGAUUUUUGUUCCGGUUGUUUGGUUGUAUGUUGGAGUUGUUUUUGUAUACAUGCCAUUUUAGGUGUAUGGUUAUUAUUGGUAAGUGUUUUAAUUUAAUCUGAUUGUGCAAAAAUUUUUAUUUGCUGGUUUUUUAAGGUAAUGAAAGGAAAGUAGGGGACAAGAAUUUGGGUAAGUUAUACAAAGAUGGAAAAAAGAGGUGUUAAGCGAAAGUGUGAAAAGAGUAAAAAAUGUACAAAACAGAUAAAAGAACAAAUAUUUGGCAGUUCAUAUCUUAAUAAAAUUAUGGUUAAUUAUUAUCCUUGUGAAUGUUGAGGAAUAUUGGUAUGGGAUGGAAAUAUUAAAAAAAAUAUCUUUUUACAUCAUGAUGAAUUGGAGAUGCUACAAAGUGGAGAUGCUAUUUUAUGUAUUGAUUGUUUUAUUUUUAAAAAAAAGAAGGUUCCUUUUGUGCUUUUGAUAUGUAAGAGAAUAAUUUAUUUUGUGGUAAAGUGGAAAAAUCUAGACGGUGCGACUUUCUAUCCACCAUCAAUUACACCAGGAUUAGGCAUGACUCUUGAAGAAAUUACGGAUGGAGGACAAACCGAGAACGCGAUUAACAUCAUGCAACUAUUAAACAAUCGAGUAGGAUUUCGAAAUCCCGUUCACUACCAUUUGUUAAAAGUUUCCAUUCAAGAAUUUGAUGCAGCUGCCAUUGAAAUUGAGAAGCAAUGCAUUAAAUGCAGUAAAGCUGUAAUUGUCGACCCACAGGACGGUAAAGAUUUCUGCGGAAGCUGUCUGACUGAGCCGAAACCAUCGGAAGUUGCAAAUUGUUGACGAUGUGGUGUUGUGGAUGUUGUGGGAUAUAAUCAAAUUCAACAGCAAUUAUUUGGACAUUCAGCUGCUGCGCAUCAAAGCGGAUUGUUUGGGACUCACGAUUUCUCAGCUAUGAAUAAGCAAUAUCGCGUCAUACUGAAACAGGCUUAUACUAAUAUUGAAGGUCGGAGCAAAGAAACAAUCAGCAUACCAUAUAUGGAAGAAAAAAAGCCAGACGAAAUUCCAGGAAGUGCUAUGGAUAUUGUUGUCACUGACGACAAUACAACCGUAUUGCAGCCUGAAUCCAGCAAACGAUCUGUUGGAACUUCGAAGAAACGAAAUAAAUGAAUGGAAUUGCAUGAACCGUUGGUUUUACUUUGAGAUGGACCAAUCGUUUUCAUUUUUGUUGUUGUUAUUUGAGUGAUUCAUCAAUUUAUUACCGCCAUUGUACCAUUUUUUCUAAGUGCAUUAUAGUUAUCUGUGGUAUUAUUAUCUGAUAGUGGUGGUGCAGUAUUAUUAUCUAUGUAAUGUAAUUAUGUUGAAUUACUCGUUUAAUGCUUGUAAAGUGUGUAUCUUAGUAUUUUUCUUAUAGUGAAAUACACUAUUAUUUUGUUA